rnacentral:lncRNA from 1 species
GGGUCUCAAUCUUAACACGGCCGACAAUAGCUGUUCGCAUUUUGCCUGUUUGAUCGACCACAAUCACCUCUUUGCCCGCUUUUAACUCGGAAAGAUAGCUUGUUUUACCUCCAGGGGUAGCUACAUAAGCAUGCACAGGCCCCUGCAUAUUUCCAUGAGAUCUUGUUCAAAGAAUUUGCAUUAUAGAAGUAACACUUCAUGAUAAGCAAGGCAUGAAAAUGCCUCUGGAUAUAUCCGAACUCAGAAGAAAAGAUGAAAACUAAGUGAAUUGCUCUGAUAAAUGAUCGGUUGCUUUCUGCCAUGACAUUUUUGGAAUCUCUAGCGUAAGCUAAAGAGAUCUCUUCUACAGUUGUAACCAAGCGUGAAGGCAAAACUUAUAGCAUUGACUCGAAAAGGUCUACUUGCAAUGUAACUCGACUCCAAACAUUCCGAGUGAACAAGAAAAAGUCCUCUAGCAAAUGACCCAACC